rnacentral:rRNA from 1 species
GAGUUUGAUUCUGGCUCAGAUUGAACGCUGGCGGCAUGCUUUACACAUGCAAGUCGGACGGCAGCACAGAGAAGCUUGCUUCUUGGGUGGCGAGUGGCGAACGGGUGAGUAACGCAUCGGAACGUACCGAGUAGUGGGGGAUAACUGUCCGAAAGGAUGGCUAAUACCGCAUACGCUUUGAGAAGGAAAGCGGGGGAUCUUCGGACCUCGCGCUAUUCGAGCGGCCGAUGUCUGAUUAGCUAGUUGGUGGGGUAAAGGCCUACCAAGGCGACGAUCAGUAGCGGGUCUGAGAGGAUGAUCCGCCACACUGGGACUGAGACACGGCCCAGACUCCUACGGGAGGCAGCAGUGGGGAAUUUUGGACAAUGGGCGCAAGCCUGAUCCAGCCAUGCCGCGUGUCUGAAGAAGGCCUUCGGGUUGUAAAGGACUUUUGUCAGGGAAGAAAAGCUUUGGGUUAAUACCCUGGAGUGAUGACGUAUCCUGAAGAAUAAGCCCCG